rnacentral:rRNA from 1 species
CCUACGGGUGGCAGCAGUGAGGAAUAUUGGUCAAUGGACGAGAGUCUGAACCAGCCAAGUAGCGUGAAGGAUGACUGCCCUAUGGGUUGUAAACUUCUUUUAUAAAGGAAUAAAACGAGGCACGUGUGCCUUUUUGCAUGUACUUUAUGAAUAAGGAUCGGCUAACUCCGUGCCAGCAGCCGCGGUAAUACGGAGGAUCCGAGUGUUAUCCGGAUUUAUUGGGUUUAAAGGGAGCGUAGAUGGGUUGUUAAGUCAGUUGUGAAAGUUUGCGGCUCAACCGUAAAAUUGCAAUUGAUACUGGCAGUCGUGAGUACAGUUGAGGUAGGCGGAAUUCGUGGUGUAGCGGUGAAAUGCUUAGAUAUCACGAAGAACCCCGAUUGCGAAGGCAGCUUACUAAACUGUGACUGACAUUGAUGCUCGAAAGUGUGGGUAUCAAACAGGAUUAGAUACCCCUGUAGUC